UUGGCUCCUUGCAACCUUAAGCAAGGGAGACUUAGCCUAUAGCUAAUGUUUGUAGAAAUGCGAAGGUGGAAAUGCUCCAUGCAUCAGAUCUGGAAGUAUGAUGGAAGGAGUGCUACUGUUCUCUUCUUCUGGACCUCAUCUAGCACUAGAGAUAACAAGGCAGAUGAUGACUGUGUUAUGCUAGCAGGCAAGAUGAACCUCAUUCCAAAAGUGCCAUGUAGAUGGUGCCUAAAUGUAACAGCAAGAUGAAUGAAGGUCUUUGAGUAUCAAGAUGGUGUGAUAGAUUCUUGGAACUGAAAACUGAACACCAGUGGAAUCCUUCAGAAGGCAACUGAGCUUUGUUUGUACAUGUUAUGGUAACCUUGGGACCAUCCUGGGGUUUUGAGCUGACUUGCCCUCUAUCUCAUCUCUGCUCUGGAACUGAAAGCAUAAGGAUACCAUGAGCUCAAGCUGAUCCAACAUUUCUUACUCACGCUAGUAUUUGUAGAGAGAGAGAAUCUAUUCUAAAACUGCAACAUCUGGUAGAGUUGGAAAAAAAAAAAAACAAUAAACUUUUGGACUCCAUUUCUCUCUGAUUGACAUCAUGAUGGAUAUAUGAAUGACCAGCAAGCACAGCAGGUAAAUUGUAUACAUGAUAGAAUGGAAUAUGAUUUGCUGUCUUCAGAUUGGAUGGUCUGUUUUAAAUGGCAGAUCUUAAUGCUGUGUUAUAACAGGUGCAGUAUUAUCAUGGUAUGAUAUUUGGGGGUGAGGUUUGUUCAUUAUUCUUUCCAGAAAUGGUCUGAAUUCCUCUCACUCUGAGUUCAAACCCAGAUCCAGCUUCUCAUGUCUGCAAAAUGUGACAGAGAUAUGCUAUUAACAAUGUGAGAUGAGAUUUUUUUUAGCUGAAUUUUCUGACCUGGACUUAGAAAACCUUAUGGAUUCAUUCAUUUGGCUUAAUUCCUUCUCCUGGAAAAUGGAUAUAAUUUUUUUUUUUUAACUUAUUCUAACACAAUGAUGCAAAAUAAUUUUAUGUGCUCUUGAACAAUGUUUGAAUGGUUGGAAAAGGGUACUGAAAUGGAUUUGUUACGGCACUUGAGUCUUUUAGUGAGGAAAACUUGGUGUGAGUUGAAUUAUCUUUUGUGCCUUACACAAUGUAUUUUUCUUCACUCAUACUGAGGAAAUCCAGGACUAGAAGUUACAUGUUUGGCAAUAAGUAGGUCUCAUGGGAGUUUUGAUAUGAGAGCAGAAUGAGCUUUUAUUUCAUAAUAA